UCAAAAAGCUCUUGGACUAGUUCUGUUGUGCACCAACAGAUGGUAGCAAAUGGUUGUGUGUGCAGUGAGAGUUAGCAGUGACCUUCAUGUGGUAGUGUGCCAAGUGACAUCAUAGCGUUUACUUUGCAAGUUGUCAAAUUUGUGUUUUUAUGAUCAUGUCAUGGCCACAAACAAAGAG